GCCUUCGUGGUGUAAUGGUCAGAACAUUCGACGCGUAACCGAGAGGUCCGUGGUUUGAUUCCCGGCUAAGGCA
rnacentral:tRNA from 1 species